AUUGAACGCUGGCGGCAUGCUUUACACAUGCAAGUCGAACGGUAACAGGUCUUCGGAUGCUGACGAGUGGCGAACGGGUGAGUAAUGCAUCGGAACGUGCCCAGUCGUGGGGGAUAACGCAGCGAAAGCUGUGCUAAUACCGCAUACGAUCUAUGGAUGAAAGCGGGGGACCGUAAGGCCUCGCGCGAUUGGAGUGGCCGAUGUCAGAUUAGGUAGUUGGUGGGGUAAAGGCCCACCAAGCCAACGAUCUGUAGCUGGUCUGAGAGGACGACCAGCCACACUGGGACUGAGACACGGCCCAGACUCCUACGGGAGGCAGCAGUGGGGAAUUUUGGACAAUGGGCGCAAGCCUGAUCCAGCAAUGCCGCGUGCAGGAAGAAGGCCUUCGGGUUGUAAACUGCUCUUGUACGGAACGAAACGGUCUGGGUUAAUACCCUGGGCUAAUGACGGUACCGUAAGAAUAAGCACCGGCUAACUACGUGCCAGCCGCCGCCGUAAGAC
rnacentral:rRNA from 1 species